rnacentral:rRNA from 1 species
GUCUAUAUGAAGGGUUUAUAUAGUCUGGCCUGCUCACUGAAUAAGAUUUAAAGAGCCGCGGUAUUCUGACCGUGCAAAGGUAGCAUAAUCAUUAGUUUUUUAAUUGAAAGCUUGUAUGAAUGGUUGAACAAAAAAAAUUCUGUCUCUUUUUUAAAAAUUGAAUUUAACUUUUAAGUGAAAAGGCUUAAAUUUUUUAAGGGGACGAUAAGACCCUAUAAAGCUUUAUAAUAAAAUAAUAAUUUUUUGAUACACGCAAAUAAAAAAAUAUAUUUAUUUUUUAUUUUAUUGGGGCGAUAAAGAUAUAAAUGUUAUAUAACUGUUAGCAGAGAAAUCAUAUAUUUAUGGAUUAAUAAAUGAUCCUUAUUUAAAGAUUAAAAGACAAAGUUACUUUAGGGAUAACAGCGUUAUUUCUUUUGAGAGUUCUUAUUGAAAAAGAAGUUUGCGACCUCGAUGUUGAAUUAAAAAAUCUUUACAGUGCAGUCGUUGUAAGAAGAAGGUCUGUUCGACCUUUAAAAUUUUACA